rnacentral:rRNA from 1 species
UACGUAGGGUCCGAGCGUUGUCCGGAAUUACUGGGCGUAAAGAGCUCGUAGGCGGUCUGUCGCGUCGGCUGUGAAAACCCGGAGCUCAACUCCGGGCCUGCAGUCGAUACGGGCAGACUGGAGUUCGGCAGGGGAGACUGGAAUUCCUGGUGUAGCGGUGAAAUGCGCAGAUAUCAGGAGGAACACCGGUGGCGAAGGCGGGUCUCUGGGCCGAUACUGACGCUGAGGAGCGAAAGCGUGGGGAGCGAACAGG